GAUUUGAUAGUUUAAUUAAAACAUUGGUCUUGUAAACCAAAAAUGAAUAAAACUAUUCUCAAAUCA
rnacentral:tRNA from 1 species